AGCAGUACAACGUCACAGCUACAGCCAACACUAAAGCGACAGACAGCACAGACCUGUUUUAACAGUCGUGUUAGUUCUCCUUGUUCGGAGCCAUGUCUGUGGAAUCUACCAUUCCACCUGGAAAUGACUGCAUUCCGUCUUUCCAGGUCAGACGGAGAAACACUAAAUUCCCAAAAGAUUUCAAUGUGAAGGAAAGGAGAAGUUCUAAAUUUUUCAAUCCUCCAAAUAUGGCAUUUGUAAUGAAGACCACGGAGGACGCCUCAACAUACGACAAGAAUGUGAAGAUUUUGGUCACGUGAUUUGCUCCAAUUUUCAAGUUUGAAACUAUGAGGCACCAGGUCUGCUGUCGAUCUGUUCAACUGAAACUGAAAGUGGGACAAGACACUGAAGUGAUGCUGCAAAACGAUCAACAAGAUGUCAUAAAAUGGACACUUAAAAGCUUGGUCAUAUGUUAUAGAGAUGAUUAACAAUUGAUUCUAUAUUAUUAUUUAGUUAUUAUAGAUGUAUUAUAUAAAUCUAUUUUAGUUUAGUUUUCAUUGGUUCAUGUUGAGUUUUGAAGGUUGUGAUUCAUGUAGAGUGUUAUCAUUCCUACAUUGUGAAUUUAUUAUUGUUUGCAAGAAGAAAAAGAUGUAACUAUUUAAACUUCUGCUUCUUCUCUGUUUAAAUCUGUUAUGUUAUCAUGUUUUCAGCCUGGAUUUUUUGGACAGAUUCUCUACAGGUACAGAACAGAAAUUAAAAUAUAUUUCCAAGGGCAUUAAAAGGUAGUUGUACUACAAAGUAAGUUCUGUACCACGUUACUGUGGUUCAGUUUGAACUGCCAAAGCAGGUCAUUUACAUCAAGGAACUGGUAAUGGUAAUGUUAGUGCUGUGGCCUGAUCAGUGGACACAGACGUUUUAGUGUUUAGAGCCUGAACGUCCACUCGUCUGGUUUCUCAGUAAAAGCUAAUGAGAUCAAA